GCCUGCAUGCUGCUGCCUUUCCCUUUCAUGACCAUAUGAUGAAAAAUUCUCACCUGAUUUGUUCCUUCCGUAUUGCAAUCCAACAUGCUCCCUGGAAAGUUCCUUGCUAGGUAAAGGUGAUGCUGAUGGGGGCAGACUAACUGGAUAUGACACAGAAUGUUUAAAAGUUGGAUGUAGCCAUGGUGCUGGCGUAAACAGCUUUUUCAACUGCCCUACCUGCUUAAAUGUCAACUCAGUCUUGAACUUGUGAGUUCUUUCAUCAUAAUUCUCUUGAAUUGCUCUCUUGAACAAAUUCUCCGUCAAUGGAAGGCAGUCCUUGAAAAUCCUGAAGCGAACCUGCGCUGGGAAGUCCCCACCAAAUGCCGCUGGUUCAAGUUUCAUUCCACCAGCAGAUGAAGCCUCAUAAAUACCAUACAUGAGCUUAAGAUCAACAUCAAAGAGAUAAAGCUUGACACCAGGCUUGAUUCCCAAAAUAAUGUCUUUCUUCAUAGCUGAGACACCCAUCACAUGAUAUUUGAAACAAUCAUCUUUGGUCUUUGCAUUGCACAUGAAAAUAACUCCACCAAUAGCCUUUUCAGCUUUU
rnacentral:misc_RNA from 1 species